rnacentral:rRNA from 1 species
AUGGGUCUUUUGGCAGGUACGUGGAGGCUGGGAGCGCCAAGGCACACCUCAUGGAUGCGGACGUUGAUCAUGGUGUACCAGCUUUGCAACGGCGUUGCUUUUUGCCACAGACGCAAUGUCUGGCACCAUGACCUCGAGCUACACAACCUGCAAAUUGGUGAAUGGGUUGGUAUCCUCUGGUUUGAUCCCAGAAAGAGGAAGUGUUCUCUUCUCUUUAUCAACCAAAGGCACUUUCUUCUCUCAUGGAUGGAUGGGACUCCAUCAAUUUAG